UAGGGAAUCUUCGGCAAUGGGGGGAACCCUGACCGAGCAACGCCGCGUGAGUGAAGAAGGUUUUCGGAUCGUAAAGCUCUGUUGUCAAGGAAGAACGAGUGUGAGAAUGGAAAGUUCAUGCUGUGACGGUACUUAACCAGAAAGGGACGGCUAACUACGUGCCAGCAGCCGCGGUAAUACGUAGGUCCCGAGCGUUGUCCGGAUUUAUUGGGCGUAAAGCGAGCGCAGGCGGUUAGAAAAGUCUGAAGUGAAAGGCAGUGGCUCAACCAUUGUAGGCUUUGGAAACUGUUUAACUUGAGUGCAGGAGGGGAGAGUGGAAUUCCAUGUGUAGCGGUGAAAUGCGUAGAUAUAUGGAGGAACACCGGUGGCGAAGGCGGCUCUCUGGUCUGUAACUGACGCUGAGGCUCGAAAGCGUGGGGAGCGAACAGG
rnacentral:rRNA from 1 species